rnacentral:tRNA from 1 species
GGUAAGAUGGCCGAGUGGUUAAGGUAAGUCGUGUUUGCAACGAGAGUCACCUGGGUUCGAACCCCAGUCUUACCA